CCCUUAGAUGUUCUGGGCCGCACACGCGCUACACUGAAGGAGGCAGCGUGUACUCCUGGAUCGAAAGAUUUGGGUAACCCGCGAAUCUCCUUCGUGCUAGGGAUUGAGGUUUGCAAUUAUCCUUCAUGAACGAGGAAUUCCCAGUAAGUGCAAGUCAUAAGCUUGCGCUGACUACGUCCCUGCCCUUUGUACACACCGCCCGUCGCUACUACCGAUUGAAUGGUCCGGUGAAAUUCUCGGACGCGGACUUGCGAUGUUAAUUCGGAGCUUGACUGUGAAAGUUAAUUAAACCUUACCAUUUAGAGGAAGGUGAAGUCGUAACA
rnacentral:rRNA from 1 species